AUCGAAUGCAAAGGCACAGGUUCGUGGCUGAAUGACUACAUUGACAAUAUACAGUUGGCGUGCAUCUGCAAGACAGAACAACUACCACCGGCCCAUCCCUCCCCCCGUAUCAUCGAGGGCCAGCAAGCAUACACGGUGACACGCCUACUGAGGGUUCGACCACGGGGCAGGGGUUUCCAGUACCUGGUUGACUGGGAGGGUUAUGGCCCGGAGGAGAGGUGCUGGGUUCCCGCUAAAGACAUCUUGGACCCGGCCCUCAUCGCCGACUUUCACCGCUGCCAGCCCAGUCAACCAGGUAUCCUCCCAGGUGGAACGCAAGGUGGCGUCCCUAGAGGGGGGGUACUGUCACACCCUGAUGUUUCACCUGUCCUUGUGCUUGUCUCCACCCCCCUCCAGGUGUCGCCCAUCUUCCCCAUUAUCUCCUAUUUAUACCUGUGUUCUGUCUGUUUGUUGCCUGUUCGUCUUGUUCGUUCAAGCUUACCAGUGUUUUUCCUGUCCAGCUCCUUUCGUUUCCCAGCCUCUCUUUCCUCGUCCUCCUGGUUUUUGACCUUUUGCCUGUCCUGACCCUGUACCCGCCCGCCUGACCUCUCUGCCUGCCUGCCGUUCUGUACCUUUGCUCCACCUCUGGAUUACUGAACUCUGUCUGUCCCUGACCCUGAGUCCGCCUGCCGUUCUUUACCUUUGCUUACCCUGGAUUUUCAACCCCUGCCUGUCUUGACCUGUCUUUGCCUGCCC
ensembl:lncRNA